AUUGAACGCUGGCGGCAUGCCUUACACAUGCAAGUCGAACGGCAGCACGGGGCAACCUGGUGGCGAGUGGCGAACGGGUGAGUAAUGCAUCGGAACGUACCUUUCAGUGGGGGAUAACGUAGCGAAAGUUACGCUAAUACCGCAUAUUCUGUGAGCAGGAAAGCAGGGGAUCGCAAGACCUUGCGCUGAUUGAGCGGCCGAUGUCAGAUUAGCUAGUUGGUGAGGUAAAGGCUCACCAAGGCGACGAUCUGUAGCGGGUCUGAGAGGAUGAUCCGCCACACUGGAACUGAGACACGGUCCAGACUCCUACGGGAGGCAGCAGUGGGGAAUUUUGGACAAUGGGGGCAACCCUGAUCCAGCCAUGCCGCGUGAGUGAAGAAGGCCUUCGGGUUGUAAAGCUCUUCCGGCCGGGAAGAAAUCGCACGGGCUAAUACCCUGUGUGGAUGACGGUACCGGAAUAAGAAGCACCGGCUAACUACGUGCCAGCAGCCGCCGUAAGAC
rnacentral:rRNA from 1 species